UCCUUCUUAGCUCAGCCGGUUAGAGCAUCUGACUGUUAAUCAGAGGGUCGCUGGUUCGAGCCCAGCAGAAGGAGCGA
rnacentral:tRNA from 3 species